GGACUCCCUUUGUGAGGCCUGUCUCCCGCCACCCAGAGGCGAUCAGCACGUGCCCAUGCCAAACGCAUCCCGGUCAGCCGGCCGUCCGGUGGUUUCAGAUCAGCUCUUUCCCGUCCCCGUCCUACAUAACCAAGUCCGUCCCUCCUUAUUGCCAAAUGGCUCCGGGAAUGCCUGCGAGAGACGGCCCCCGCCGAACGGUGCUUCUGCUUUCGGGAAUCAAGGAGCGCGAUCUGAAUCUCACCAAGAUAAACUCGCGGCUGGGUCAAUACAACGAGUGGUCAUUGAGGGUGCCCUGCGCUUUAUCUAUCUUUAGGCCUCGUUCCUGCAGGGGAGUGGAAAUGUAUCACCUGAGUGAGGAGCAGCCAGGGGCCUGCGGGGAGGCGGGGAGGAAGGAGCAUUUGUGAGCGGCCUCCUGCAGGGAACAGGAGCCAACCCAGCCAGGCCCUGGUUGCUGGCAGAAAAGCCACGCUGCAGAAACGGAGGCAAUAUAAAAGGAAAAUCACCCCUUCUGGCACUGUCUGGGGCCUGGGGUUCACGGGUGGUGCGAGUCCUGCCAGGUUUCUGGUGAUCAGCUCCACGUUUUAUGCAGGGCGCUGGGGGCCACCCGGGAGAGGGGCUUUCCAGGGUCCCUCCACCCUGGAUGGUGCCUGGAAACCGUGUCUCCAGCUCUCUCUCCCCCCAGGUUCACAGUUAUGAGACCCUUCUGUCCUUGGGAGUUAGGGGGUGGCCUGCGGUCUCUGUGAGCUCAGGAACUGGGGCAAAAGGGAAGAGGAUCACUCCCAGCAGAAGCCGCAAGAGCCGGAGCGCACUGCGGGAUGACGCUCUCUCAGCGGACAAGAAAUUAAAUGGGAAGACGUCAAGUCCCUUGCCUGAAGGCUCCAUACCAGCACAGCACGAAACUUCCCAGCGCCCACUUUGCACUUGACCUUCAGCGCUGCGGGUGGAAGAAACCCGGCCACGAACGCUUCACGGUCGGGUCAUUGAGAAGGCCAAGUGGCACUCGGUGAUUCCACUGGACGGGGACCAAGACCCCAAGCCAGGAGUUGUUAACAUCAUAGACCAAAGACUGAGUUUGGCCCCAAAAUAUAAUCCGCUCGCUCCAUAAUGAUGAAGCAGAAGACGGUCCACAGCUACAUCCUCAGUACCUAGAACAGGACCUGGCACCCAAGAGGUGUUCGAUCACCACUGACUAAAUUGAUGGAUGGAAUAAAUAAAGGUGUCCAGAGGCGGUACUAUGGAUGGCCUCUGGAUAGGAGGCAUUCUCUAGAGACAGGAAGGACUCGGCUCCCUUCCAUACAGAGGUCUGGCAGAGAAGCAAGACCAUGGAGCUCCCUCCACGAGGGAUCAGCAACCUGGCAGCUGGAAGGAGACAUGAAAGAUGGGGGUGAGAAGGUGGGUCAGGGCUUCACACUGGUUUUAAACCACGGGGCGGAGGCUCUCCAGCAACACAGCCUCCGCGUAUGUCAUGCCCGGCCUCUGCCUUCUGGUCUUCUCUCUCUUGCAUUCACGGAGGGCUUUGGGCUUUGCAAAAGACACAUCAGAGCUGACUGUUUGAAGCCACAAAUCCCCUCCCAGGACAUGAGAGCAGAGCAGAGUGUUUGAUUUCUCUGAUGUCUCCUCCUUCAAGCUCCCCCUUCGCUGAGACUUAGGGGAUUUGCCGCUUCUUUGCUGAAACGACACAAGAGGUUUUUCCGCUUAAUCCCCAGAUCUUUAGAGUUGGGGCUGCCUUCGGUUUGUGUUUCAAGAGCAUCACAGAGUAAUCUGUGACACUGAGCUCCGAGCUCUCAGCACAGGGAGCGAGCUGGGAGGAUUCGGGAUGCUCAGAAAGCUUUCAAAAUGAGGCCAAGAGCAGCACCCGCCAGCGCUCCCGGUGAGGUCACGGUCUCAGCUUCUGCUUGCAGACAGGGCUGUACUGAGUAACCCCGUCCUGCUGGCUCAUGAUGCUCGAACCCUCAGCCCCACUGGGCCAAUCCAAUAGGCUCUUCAGAACUGAGCUAGGAGCUGUUAAUUAUUCUGGGACGGUCACUUGGACCACACCCCAUUACCCCAUGUGGAAGUAGGAGCUCUGUGUAUUUCUUUUUAUUUUUUUGGUACCAGAGAUUGAGCCUAGGGAACUCAACCACUGAGCCCCAUCCCAGCCCUAUUUUGUAUUUUAUUUAGAGACAGGGUCUCACUGAGUUGUUCAGUGCCUCCCUUUUGCUGAGGCUGUCUCUGAACUUGCAAUCCUCCUGCCUCAGCCUCCGGAGCCACAGGCAUGUGCCCCUGAGCCUGGCAGGAGCUGUGUGUAUGUUAAAACUCUGUCAUCGCUCUGCAGAGAGCGUUACAGUUGACCUCCAGCAUCUAUCCUGACGACUGUCUGGUAACUGUGUCUUCUCCUCUGAGACUGGGUUUGCUUGAUUCUAUCUCUGGGAUUCAUUAAAUGACCUAGAUGCUUCUGAGAAAUGCCUCUCGUUGAUGUAAGCAAGUUGAAAACGGAUAACUUGGGAUCAAAGCAUCCCGAGUCCAAGAAUGGUUUCUUUGAACCACAAUGGGACAUUAACACCAGACCCUACCCUCCUGCCGGACCAGGGAUCAUGACAUUCAUGAGCCAACAUGGAAGAGGUGAGAGGCUCCUCAGUCCACACAGCAGCACAGAGUUCACAGGAUUCUUUCAGAAGCAGGUGUACGAGGAGACGACUGUGGUACAGAAAUCACCAAUUCACAGACAACCCGGGAGAGGGGUCUUGCUCACACGAUCUGAUGGCAUUGAAAGAUUUUGGUUUUGCUUAAGUGAGUUAAUAUAGGAAAAUGGGAUAAAAUAUAUAAAACAUUUAAUAUCAUAUAUAUAAGUACCACCUAGUGUUGAUCAAUAAAUCUAAUUAUUAUCUCGAGGACAAUGGGAAGUACCCAAAAAAUGGGUUUUGGAUUUUGAAGAGCCACCCCCGCCUUGAUUGUGGGUGGAGAACAGAUUGGUCUGGAACCUCCCUGGGGACAGGAGGCAGAUGCAAGUCUAUUGCUGUCUUCAACACAAGAGGAGCUAGUCCCUACGGAGAGGAGUCUCAAUGGGUACCAACAACUCAGACAGACAUUCCAGGGGUGACACUGGCGUGAUUCCAUGGCGGUCUGGCUCUAUGGAAUCGCCACGCCAGCAGCUCAAAGAUGACUUUGGGAUUUUCUACUGAAUCACUGGGUGGUUGGCCCAGUCCUCCAUGAAGACAGGGAAGAGCAGAGAGAGCAAGGUGGUCCCUGGAAGGUCAUGACGUUAGCCUUUGGGGACGAUGAGUGGGAGAUGAAUUUAAAAUAUCCCCGUGAAGUGGCCAAGCCAGCAUUUGGGUAUCGAUGUCUGAAGCUGAGUUGGGGAAUAAUCUAAAAAGGAAACCUUUCAGGUUAUCACUGUUCCAAAGUGGAAGCCGUGGGUAGACGUGGGACGCUCCGCAGGGGUGUCCAGGGUCACAUUCCCAGCAAAAGCCAAUGGCAUCUACUUCAGCGUGAUGGAUGCUACCGCCCACCUAGAACGCUCCCCCCCUAUGCCUCAAACCCAGCUCGAUAGUAUUUACUUAUUGAACAAACCAAUCAAUCCAUCAAUUCAUGGAGGGGAUUGAAAGCGAGAGUAACCCAUUGGGUCCUUCUGCAGAAACACUGAGAGAGAACCACAGCCUGCAACCAACCUUUAUUUCCUGAAUUCUGGACUCUGUUAUCUA